UGUUUCGGCUAGGGGGCCAUCCCGGCUUACCAACCCGAUGCAAACUGCGAAUACCGGAGAAUGUUAUCACGGGAGACACACGGCGGGUGCUAACGUCCGUCGUGAAGAGGGAAACAACCCAGACCGCCAGCUAAGGUCCCAAAGUCAUGGUUAAGUGGGAAACGAUGUGGGAAGGCCCAGACAGCCAGGAUGUUGGCUUAGAAGCAGCCAUCAUUUAAAGAAAGCGUAAUAGCUCACUGGUCGAGUCGGCCUGCGCGGAAGAUGUAACGGGGCUAAACCAUGCACCGAAGCUGCGGCAGCGAACGUAUCACUUAAAGCGAUUCAGCGGGUUACGAUUGACGGAGCGAAGCGACGUCAAAGCGUAUACAAAGUCGAGUCGGUUUAAGGAUACGUUCGUUGGGUAGGGGAGCGUUCUGUAAGCCUGUGAAGGUGUGUCGUGAGGCAUGCUGGAGGUAUCAGAAGUGCGAAUGCUGACAUAAGUAACGAUAAAGCGGGUGAAAAGCCCGCUCGCCGGAAGACCAAGGGUUCCUGUCCAACGUUAAUCGGGGCAGGGUGAGUCGACCCCUAAGGCGAGGCCGAAAGGCGUAGUCGAUGGGAAACGGGUUAAUAUUCCCGUACUUGGUGUUACUGCGAAGGGGGGACGGAGAAGGCUAUGUUGGCCGGGCGACGGUUGUCCCGGUUUAAGCGUGUAGGCUGGUUUUCCAGGCAAAUCCGGAAAAUCAAGGCUGAGGCGUGAUGACGAGGUACUACGGUGCUGAAGCAACAAAUGCCCUGCUUCCAGGAAAAGCCUCUAAGCAUCAGGUAACAUCAAAUCGUACCCCAAACCGACACAGGUGGUCAGGUAGAGAAUACCAAGGCGCUUGAGAGAACUCGGGUGAAGGAACUAGGCAAAAUGGUGCCGUAACUUCGGGAGAAGGCACGCUGACACGUAGGUGAAGUGAUUUACUCAUGGAGCUGAAGUCAGUCGAAGAUACCAGCUGGCUGCAACUGUUUAUUAAAAACACAGCACUGUGCAAACACGAAAGUGGACGUAUACGGUGUGACGCCUGCCCGGUGCCGGAAGGUUAAUUGAUGGGGUCAGCGCAAGCGAAGCUCCUGAUCGAAGCCCCGGUAAACGGCGGCCGUAACUAUAACGGUCCUAAGGUAGCGAAAUUCCUUGUCGGGUAAGUUCCGACCUGCACGAAUGGCGUAAUGAUGGCCAGGCUGUCUCCACCCGAGACUCAGUGAAAUUGAACUCGCUGUGAAGAUGCAGUGUACCCGCGGCAAGACGGAAAGACCCCGUGAACCUUUACUAUAGCUUGACACUGAACAUUGAGCCUUGAUGUGUAGGAUAGGU
rnacentral:rRNA from 1 species